rnacentral:lncRNA from 1 species
GGGUGCGGGCGUCCUGGAGGGCCGGACGCCAGGUCCGCGCAGGUCCUCGUCGCUGAGUAGGCCGCGAUCAUACUUGCGACGGAGGGUGGCACUGCCCAGCACCACGUAGGCCUGGGAGAUGCGCGUGAAGCGCUCGGCGGCCUCCGCGCUCCCGGAGUUGCGGUCCGGGUGGUAGAGAAAGCACUGACGGUAGUAAGCCGCCUUGAUUUGGGCCUGCGUGGCUGUGGAGGGGACGCCGAGCAGAUCAUACAGCGCCGUGCGCGAAUACGAGCAGUCGCCCUGGGAAUAAGUCCUCGCUCCUAGGCCCAGGCUGGGUGCAGAAUUUUGUGGAAAGCCACGGGCCUGCAGCAACCUCCAAGCUCACGGAUGAUUGAUAUCCAGACCAGGAUGGCUGGGCGAGCAUUGGAGCUUCUUUAUCUGCCAGAGAAUAAGCCCUGUUACCUGCUGGAUAUUGGGUG